rnacentral:rRNA from 1 species
AUACGGAGGGUCCGAGCGUUAUCCGGAAUCAUUGGGUUUAAAGGGUCCGCAGGCGGAUUAAUAAGUCAGUGGUGAAAUCCUCUCGCUCAACGAGAGAACUGCCAUUGAAACUGUUAGUCUUGAAUUCGGUCGAAGUAGGCGGAAUGUGUCAUGUAGCGGUGAAAUGCAUAGAUAUGACACAGAACACCGAUAGCGAAGGCAGCUUACUAGACCUGGAUUGACGCUCAUGGACGAAAGCGUGGGGAGCGAACAGGAUUAGAAACCCCUGUAGUCC